rnacentral:lncRNA from 1 species
UUUCGAGGCUGUGGAUAAAAUUUACUUCGUUUUAACAAUGAUGCUUCAGAUUACUAAUGCCUGUUUCAGCAGUUAAAUUCAUGCACGCAUUGGCCCUCUUUGUGGUUUGGAAUGAUGCUUCCUUGGAAAGGCUUUGAUAAACCUCAGAGGAAGACCAGUGAUGCUUGGUGAGGUAUCUGUGAUUUGUAAAGGAGAAGUGAAGUGCUGACUUGGAGUGCCACCCUUGAUGAGAACAGAGAGAGAAAGGAAUGGAGUGAGAAGAAAAACUGGAAAUCCAUUAAUGACUGAGAAAAUGGAGGACUUUUCAUGACAGAUGAAGGCCUCAAAACAUUGUUCUUUUGACAAUACAAGACAGUAAAAUAAAUUAAACUUGGUAAAACUUUGAGACUGUAAUGACAUUUGAGGUCUUACUUCCUUACUUC